UAAGAAUUUAAAAGUCGAACAGACUUAUUUAUAAGAAUGCUGCUUCUUUAUAAUUUUCUUAAUUCAACAUCGAGGUCGCAAAAUAUAAUAUAGAUGUGAACUCCCCAUUAAAAUUACGCUGUUAUCCCUAAGGUAACUUAAUCUUAUUAUCCUAUCUGAGGAUCAUAAAUUACAUAAAUAAAUGAUACAAAAAACUAAAGUUUUAAUUUAAUUACCACCCCAGCAAAAAAUAAAUUUAUUAUUAUAAAAUAUUAUAAUUAAAUUAAAUAAUAUAAAUGUAUAUAAAGUUCUAUAGGGUCUUAUCGUCCCAAUAAACUACUAAAGCAUUUUAACUUUAAAUUUAAAUUCUAAUUCUCUAAGAAAUAAAAUAUAUUUCUCAUACAUCCAUUCAUACAAGCUCACAAUUAAAAAACUAAUUACUAUGCUACCUUUGCACAGUCAAAAUACUGCAGCCAUUUAGUUGAUAAACCAUAGGGCAGAAGAUACUUUUUAUAUAACCA
rnacentral:rRNA from 1 species